UCUUGACAUCCAGCGAACUUUCCAGAGAUGGAUUCGGUGCCUUCGGGAACGCUGAGACAGGUGCUGCAUGGCUGUCGUCAGCUCGUGUUGUGAAAUGUUGGGUUAAGUCCGCAACGAGCGCAACCCUUAUCCUUUGUUGCCAGCGAUUCGGUCGGGAACUCAAAGGAGACUGCCGGUGAUAAACCGGAGGAAGGUGGGGAUGACGUCAAGUCAUCAUGGCCCUUACGAGUAGGGCUACACACGUGCUACAAUGGCGCAUACAAAGAGAAGCGACCUCGCGAGAGCAAGCGGACCUCAUAAAGUGCGUCGUAGUCCGGAUCGGAGUCUGCAACUCGACUCCGUGAAGUCGGAAUCGCUAGUAAUCGUGGAUCAGAAUGCCACGGUGAAUACGUUCCCGGGCCUUGUACACACCGCCCGUCACACCAUGGGAGUGGGUUGCAAAAGAAGUAGGUAGCUUAACCCUCGGGAGGGCGCUUACCACUUUGUGAUUCAUGACUGGGGUGAAGUCGUAACAAGGUAAGCGUACGUGU
rnacentral:rRNA from 1 species